GACGAACGCUGGCGGCGUGCCUAAUACAUGCAAGUUGAGCGAUGAAGCUUGGUGCUUGCCCCAAUUUGAAGAGCAGCGAACGGGUGAGUAACGCGUGGGGAAUCUGCCUUUGAGCGGGGGACAACAUUUGGAAACGAAUGCUAAUACCGCAUAAUAACUUUAAACAUAAGUUUUAAGUUUGAAAGAUGCAAUUGCAUCACUCAAAGAUGAUCCCGCGUUGUAUUAGCUAGUUGGUGAGGUAAAGGCUCACCAAGGCGAUGAUACAUAGCCGACCUGGGAGGGUGAUCGGCCACAUUGGGACUGAGACACGGCCCAAACUCCUACGGGAGGCAGCAGUAGGGAAUCUUCGGCAAUGGACGAAAGUCUGACCGAGCAACGCCGCGUGAGUGAAGAAGGUUUUCGGAUCGGAAAACUCUGUUGGUAGAGAAGAACGUUGGUGAGAGUGGAAAGCUCAUCAAGUGACGGUAACUACCCAGAAAGGGACGGCUAACUACGUG
rnacentral:rRNA from 1 species